UACGUAGGGGGCAAGCGUUGUCCGGAAUCAUUGGCGUAAAGAGCGUGUAGGCGGCCAGAAAAGUCCGCUGUGAAAACCGUCGGAGCACAUCGUGCUGUCGGUGGAAACUUUCUGGCUAGAGUCCGGAAGAGGAGAAUGGAAUUCCUGGUGUAGCGGUGAAAUGCGCAGAUAUCAGGAAGAACACCCGUGGCGAAGGCGGCUCUCUGGGACGGUACUGACGCUGAGACGCGAAAGCGUGGGGAGCGAACAGG
rnacentral:rRNA from 1 species